ensembl:piRNA 21ur-9296 ncRNA
UGCAGAAUAUGGACUACAAUU